rnacentral:sRNA from 1 species
GACUUUAUGAUGUAAAAAAACAAAUAUUUAUAAUUUGCUGUUGCUAAACGUCAACCAUUUCUCUGCAUCUCACACUGAGAGUC